rnacentral:misc_RNA from 1 species
AACGCACAUUGCGCCUCUUGGUAUUCCGAGGGGCAUGUCUGUUUGAGCGUCAGUACCCACUCUCCUCGCCGGCCGUUUGUUCGGCCGCGCGGGCGAGGUCUUGGGGACCGGGGCGUCACAACCCCGCCCCCUAACGUGGCACGCUUGCGAACCCGACACCGAUCACGACGUAGUACACACAAAUUCUCGUCGGCACGAAAGGUUAGGGCCGCCUGAAAACAUCAAACUCUGUAGUUUGACCUCAGAUCAGACAAGGAUACCCGCUGAACUUAA